rnacentral:rRNA from 1 species
CAAAAACAUUGCUUUUUGUUUUUUCCUUAAGAAGUACGUCCUGCCCGGUGAAGUAGUUUAAACGGCCGCGGUACCCUGACCGUGCAAAGGUAGCACAAUCACUUGCCCUUUAAUUGUGGGCUGGUAUGAAAGGAUAAACGAGGGAACAGCUGUCUUUUUUCAGAAUCAGGAAACUAAACUAAAGGUGAAGAUGCCUUUAUAAAAAAAAAAGACAAGAAGACCCUAUAGAGCUUUUACUCCUUGGGAGUUUUAGUUGGGGCGACGAAGGAACUCCCUCUUCUUCCUCUUUUUUUUCUGACCUAUGUCUUUUUGAUCCGGAAACCCGAAUAAAAAACAAGCUACCUUAGGGAUAACAGGCUGAUCCUUCUUGAGAGUACUUAUUGAUGGAAGGGCUUGGCACCUCGAUGUUGGCUUAGG